rnacentral:rRNA from 1 species
UACGUAGGGGGCUAGCGUUGUCCGGAUUUAUUGGGCGUAAAGAGCGUGUAGGCGGCCAGGUAGGUCUGCUGUGAAAACUCGAGGCUCAACCUCGAGACGUCGGCGGAAACCAUCUGGCUAGAGUCCGGAAGAGGAGAGUGGAAUUCCUGGUGUAGCGGUGAAAUGCGCAGAUAUCAGGAAGAACACCCGUGGCGAAGGCGGCUCUCUGGGACGGUACUGACGCUGAGACGCGAAAGCGUGGGGAGCGAACAGGAUUA